rnacentral:rRNA from 1 species
UACGUAGGGUGCAAGCGUUGUCCGGAAUUAUUGGGCGUAAAGAGCUCGUAGGCGGCUUGUCACGUCGGAUGUGAAAGCCCGAGGCUUAACCUCGGGUCUGCAUUCGAUACGGGCUAGCUAGAGUGUGGUAGGGGAGAUCGGAAUUCCUGGUGUAGCGGUGAAAUGCGCAGAUAUCUGGAGGAAUACCGGUGGCGAAGGCGGCAUCCUGGACCGACAUUGACGCUGAUGAGCGAAAGCUAGGGGAGCAAACGGGG